rnacentral:rRNA from 1 species
AGCAUGAAGCCCCCCUCAAGAUGAGAUUUCCCAACUUCGGUUAUAAGAUCCCUCGAAGAUGACGAGGUUAAUAGGUUCGAGGUGGAAGCGUGGUGACACGUGGAGCUGACGAAUACUAAUCGAUCGAAGACUUAAUCAAUUUUUUAAAAGUGUU